UGCCCCUUGGUGUAAUGGAAGCACAAGAGACUUUGACUCUCUUGGUUGGGGUUCGAGUCCCUGGGGGGCAGCCA
rnacentral:tRNA from 1 species